rnacentral:sRNA from 1 species
UAUUCUGCCCCAUGGGGAAGGAUGAGAAGCUUCGACUAAGGUUCGACUCGAGCGCCAGCGAGAGAACGUUGCCACAGGCAACGGCCCGAAGGGCGAGGCGCUUUAGCG